rnacentral:rRNA from 1 species
AACACAUGCAAGUCGAGCGGAAACGACACUAACAAUCCUUCGGGUGCGUUAAUGGGCGUCGAGCGGCGGACGGGUGAGUAAUGCCUAGGAAAUUGCCUUGAUGUGGGGGAUAACCAUUGGAAACGAUGGCUAAUACCGCAUAAUGCCUACGGGCCAAAGAGGGGGAUCUUCGGACCUCUCGCGUCAAGAUAUGCCUAGGUGGGAUUAGCUAGUUGGUGAGGUAAUGGCUCACCAAGGCAACGAUCCCUAGCUGGUCUGAGAGGAUGAUCAGCCACACUGGAACUGAGACACGGUCCAGACUCCUACGGGAGGCAGCAGUGGGGAAUAUUGCACAAUGGGCGAAAGCCUGAUGCAGCCAUGCCGCGUGUAUGAAGAAGGCCUUCGGGUUGUAAAGUACUUUCAGUUGUGAGGAAGGGGGUAACGUUAAUAGCGUUAUCUCUUGACGUUAGCAACAGAAGAAGCACCGGCUAACUCCGUGCCAGCAGCCGCGGUAAUACGGAGGGUGCGAGCGUUAAUCGGAAUUACUGGGCGUAAAGCGCAUGCAGGUGGUUCAUUAAGUCAGAUGUGAAAGCCCGGGGCUCAACCUCGGAACUGCAUUUGAAACUGGUGAACUAGAGUGCUGUAGAGGGGGGUAGAAUUUC